CAGGGAGACAACAAAAUGUAAAUAUUAAUUUUGUCACCUUAGGUCGAUCGGUAUCUCAGAUUCUUAAUUAUUAAGAAUUUCAGUUUCUAAGUUUUUUCUAGGUCACACCCAUCACUUUUUCCUGGGCCAUUAGCUCAGGUGGUUAGAGCGCACCCCUGAUAAGGGUGAGGUCCCUGGUUCAAGUCCAGGAUGGCCCAUAUCUCUAUGUUGGGGGUAUAGCUCAGUUGGUAGAGCGCCUGCUUUGCAAGCAGGAUGUCAGCGGUUCGAGUCCGCUUACCUCCACUGCAUACCACUUUUAAACGUAUUGUAUUAGAGGGAAAUUGUUUUGAGUUGUGUCCUAAUUUGCUCUGAGCGAAUCUAGCUUCCUAUUUUAUUCAAAAAAUAAGAUGCUGGACUCAUUGAAUUAUUAUUCAUUGUUUUUCAGAGAACCUUGACAACUGCAUAGAUUAUUUUGAAGACAAUAAGCAUCUUUAAUGAUGCAGAUUUAUUAUUUGUGCGAAUGCAUUAAAUAACAAUUCUAUUAAGCUGAUGCUUCAAUUAUUGAAGUUAUU
rnacentral:tRNA from 1 species